rnacentral:rRNA from 1 species
AACGAACGCUGGCGGCAGGCUUAACACAUGCAAGUCGAACGCCCCGCAAGGGGAGUGGCAGACGGGUGAGUAACGCGUGGGAACGUGCCCUUCGCUUCGGAAUAGCCCCGGGAAACUGGGAGUAAUACCGAAUACGCCGUAUUGGGAAAGAUUUAUCGGCGAAGGAUGGGCCCGCGUUAGAUUAGCUAGUUGGCGGUGUAAUGGACCACCAAGGCUACGAUCUAUAGCCGGUCUGAGAGGAUGAUCAGCCACACUGGGACUGAGACACGGCCCAGAAGCCUGGGGGAGGAAGCAGUGGGGAAUCUUGGACAAUGGGCGCAAGCCUGAUGCAGCCAUGCCGCGUGAGUGAAGAAGGCCUUAGGGUUGUAAAACUCUUUCGCCGGAGAAGAUAAUGACGGUAUCCGGAGAAGAAGCCCCGGCUAACUUCGUGCCAGCCGCCGCAGUAAAAC